rnacentral:rRNA from 1 species
UACGUAGGGUCCGAGCGUUGUCCGGAAUUACUGGGCGUAAAGAGCUCGUAGGUGGUUUGUCGCGUUGUUCGUGAAAACUCACAGCUUAACUGUGGGCGUGCGGGCGAUACGGGCAGACUUGAGUACUGCAGGGGAGACUGGAAUUCCUGGUGUAGCGGUGGAAUGCGCAGAUAUCAGGAGGAACACCGGUGGCGAAGGCGGGUCUCUGGGCAGUAACUGACGCUGAGGAGCUAAAGCGUGGGGAGCAAACAGG